CUAUCCGAGACUCAGCAUCUCCGCAAUAUGUUUCAGAUGCAGCAGAUCUCAGCACUAGUAAUACAGUACAGCAGCUCCUGGUGAUUCAAGGCACUCACACAGCGCCAGAAGCAACAACUGCAGCUCCGAGUGCCAUUCAGCCUUUUUGCUAGUGUAAUGAAAAAGAAGAGGGAUGGAUCGAGUGGUUGCAAUAGUAUGAAGCCCACACCAUUGCUCACAACAUACCAGUCUAAUGGCGAAGAGGAAUGUUUUAUCAGAACCUUCAAGCACCAGAUGGCCAAACUUCACAACAUGCACACCAGGAAUCAAGCAUUGAAACUAUUCUUGCCUCCUCUUGUUCGUGUCAACGAGAUGGACCAUCGCAGACAGAAUUGCUUUGUGGCUGAAGCCAUCGAACACUGCUCCAACCUCUUCAGCAUCUGGCGCCAAAGGAAGGCCGCAAGUAUCGCCUUGCGAUGCUUGAUAUUGUGUUUUUCAGAGAUUUCAGUGGAGCAGACAGUGGGCGCGAGACGAGAUCCUUUGCCGACUUGGCACAUGCACGUAUCUCACAUCAGGCCCAGACGGAUUGCAGUGCCAACAUGACAACCAAAUUCGCCACUGUCACGUGCAUGGUGAUCCUUCUGCAUCUCUUCCCCCAAAUUCACAGACCCCGAGGACAGUGUGGUCACAGCAGCCGCCAGAGGGUGUCAUCACGACACCGCGGUUGACCAAAUGGAGACAGAGUCUCUGCCUCCUCUCGCCCUUCUGAUGGAGCUGGACCCGCCCACACUGCAGCAACCAAUGGGUUCAACAUCUUGCUAUGGGCCUCAAGAGGUGGAUGCGUACCCUUCUGGGUGUUUUCUGGGGGAUGUUUCCAUCAGAGCGACCCCUCACAAGGACGACAAAGCAAUAGCAGUGGCCCCUACGUGGAGAGGACAUAAGAGCCGUGACUGACGGGUGAUGACCCACUUGAAUAAUCGCUUCAAAAUUAGACAGUUGUAUAGAAGUGUCAACUCUAGUUACUUCGCUUGAACUACCU